CAAAUACUCCCUCCGUCCGAAAAUACUUGUCAUCGAAAUGAAUAAAAAAAGAUGUAUCUAGAAUUAAAAUAUAUCUAGUUGCAUUUUCUUUUAUCCAUUUUGAUGACAAGUAUUUUCGGACGGAGGGAGUAUUUU
rnacentral:pre_miRNA from 1 species